CUUGAUCGAGCCGAGCCACAGCGGCUCGCCGUCGCGCUCCUGGCCGUAGGUGGCCAGCAGGGCGUGCGCCUC
rnacentral:antisense_RNA from 2 species